rnacentral:lncRNA from 1 species
AUGGACAAUAUAAUCAGUCCCAAGAGGCUCAUUAGAAUUGCUAGCAAGUGGCAGAAGAGAGAUGCUAUGGGGAGGAACAAAAAUUCAUCGCCAAGAGCAGCAGCUAGCAACAACAUGCUGAAUAAUAUGGUGGGUGAAAAGGGAACUUUUGUUAUCUACACCAUUGACGGAAGCCGUUUCGUACUGCCGUUAUCCUAUCUCUCAAACUGUAUUUUCCAAGAGCUCUUCAAGAUGUCUGAAGAAGAGUUUGGCCUCUCAAGUGGUCGUGGGCCAAUUAUCUUGCCAUGUUACUCGGUCUUCAUGAAUUACAUACUCUCAUUUCUCCAGCGAGGAACGACUGGAGAUUUGGAGAAAGCUUUGGUUGCCAACUCUCUCUUUAGCAGUAGCUGCUCAAGUUCUAAACUACAUCAAGGACAAAUAAGAAACCCAACUAUUCCUUUGUGGUUAUUACUGAGCACAUGA